GCUCAUCUCUCAGACCUGCUGCAAGCUUUUGGGACUCUCUCUGCCUUUGCUUCCACGUGGAGAAAAGCAUCGCUUCUGUAACUCACGGGAGUGCUGCAGGAAUAAAUUCACUGAAGCUUGUGACCCUGUGUUGGUGAUAAUUGUGGGAGCACACAGGCCCACAGGGAUGAGCUGCCUCUGUCUAGUACUGGAGCACUUGGGAUCAAAGUUUCUCUUACACAGCCUGAUGCCUGAGCCUGUUCAACAAAGCGUGAGGAUGGUUUCUGGCUCAUCUGUUCAUUCAAGCUUUUAAUUAGUUACCAGCUAUCCUCAUGGUGAGGAGUUGACGCCUGAUGUUAUUGAGGUACUUAUUCAAGCGUUCAUGUUUAUGCAAACGCAUUCUUUUUAUAUCGGAUUUUGGGCAGUCAUAAGCCGUGGUAAGGAAUUAAAUGACAUGUAAAGAAGAAAUGUGACCCAUUGAUCAAAGAUGCGCUGGCCCACCAGUGAACAGUCUAUCCGGGCUGUGAAAUGGCUGGUCCCCAGAGAGGCCCAUUCAAAAAAGAACUGAUGCUUGCGUUUUCCAGCAUCUAUAUGCAGAAUCCCAAGUGGUUAUACAACACACACACAUGACGUGAGCUGCAAACACACAUUGCUGCAGUCCUUAUGCUGGUCCUGUUUUUGAGUUAGUGUCAAAGCUUUCCUGGAUGGGUAUGUGCACUGCUUGACUACUUGCAAAGAACUGGGCCAUUAGCCCAUAGACAGGGGAGCGUAUGUCAUGCUACACAGAAAAACAGGUCCUUAGCAAAACCACGGGACACAGAAGCACUCAGCAGCUUCUUACCUGCUCCCCACUGCAGUGAUUCUGCAGCUGCCAUUGCUGCACAUCCAUAUAAGAGGACAGGGCAAGACCAAAUAAACACAAAUAAGCUCAAACCA
rnacentral:lncRNA from 1 species